AUUGAACGCUGGCGGCAGGCCUAACACAUGCAAGUCGAACGGUAACAGGAAACAGCUUGCUGUUUCGCUGACGAGUGGCGGACGGGUGAGUAAUGUCUGGGAAACUGCCUGAUGGAGGGGGAUAACUACUGGAAACGGUAGCUAAUACCGCAUAACGUCGCAAGACCAAAGAGGGGGACCUUCGGGCCUCUUGCCAUCGGAUGUGCCCAGAUGGGAUUAGCUUGUUGGUGGGGUAACGGCUCACCAAGGCGACGAUCCCUAGCUGGUCUGAGAGGAUGACCAGCCACACUGGAACUGAGACACGGUCCAGACUCCUACGGGAGGCAGCAGUGGGGAAUAUUGCACAAUGGGCGCAAGCCUGAUGCAGCCAUGCCGCGUGUAUGAAGAAGGCCUUCGGGUUGUAAAGUACUUUCAGCGGGGAGGAAGGGAGUAAAGUUAAUACCUUUGCUCAUUGACGUUACCCGCAGAAGAAGCACCGGCUAACUCCGUGCCAGUAGCCGCGGUAAUACGGAGGGUGCAAGCGUUAAUCGGAAUUACUGGGCG
rnacentral:rRNA from 1 species